CAGGAAGGUCUGGCUGGUGGACGGGAUCAUCCUGCAGGAGGGGGCGGGACCAGGGCGGAGUUAGCCUAUGCUGCGCCACGCCCCUUUGCGCUAUGCCCCGCCCACGGUGAUUGGUGCGGACCCAAUCCUGCUACUGGUGUCUCUCCCGCCUCUGCAGCAGCCGUUGGAGCCCCUCUGCACCGAAUAUUCCCACCCUCUACGGUGGGGGAGUCACAGCCUCAGACCACGCCCCAAAUAUGCAUGCCCCGCCCUCACACCCACCCACUGGGACAGUAUCCAGCACUUACCUUUCCUCACUGGCACAGACUGGCCCCUGGGUGGCUCUCACAUCCCGCCUGCAGGGGGCACGCUGUCUAGCAGUGUCAUUCCUAGGACAACCACCGCUCAAGCACCCUCAUCUACUAACAUCUACUUUUUCAGGGGACCGAGGCUACAGGCCACACCCCCGUCAUCCGCAUCCCCACCCCCCACUCAGGUGACACCAGGCUGAUUCCUUACAGGGACGCUGUGGGCUCUUCUAGUUCCUCUUUUAUGCAAAUGAGAAGCCGUGAUGCAGGCCACUCCCCCUCAUCUGCAUGUCCCAUCUGAGGGUAAAACAUCUAGCUUCCGUGUAAUGUGUCUCUUCUGGCACAGUUUCCAAGCCGCUCUACUGAGUAUUCCCACCCAUUAAUGGGUCAUUGCUAUAGCCCAUUCCCUUCCACAGAGCUCGUCCAAGCCACACCCCACAGUGGCCUCCUAGGAACGGGGGUCUGGGACCAAGUCUGCUGUUUGCAUACUCUGCUCCUUGUCCAGACACUGAAGACAACCGCUGCCUUAGGUACGUGCCCAACCUGGCACUGACAGAGGUCACCAAAUCUUGCUCCCAGCCUCAGCUGAAGCAGCCCAAGGACCACUUCUAAGGAAGCUCCACACCCCCACGUCUGUCUGGGGUCCUGCUUACCUCCCACAAGCUGGAGGUCUUUCCACCACCAGAGGCCACCCUCCACCAAGGACUUCAGGCAAGGGUGCCGCCCCUCAAGAAGGCCAGCCCACUUCCCCACCCCAACCUCUUCCCCUACCAGCCUUUCAAAGCCCACUGCCACCCCUGGCCCCCCUGGCUCUAGGUCUUCCUCUUCCCCUCCACACUUCCCCCACAGAGCAUUGGAUUCCUCUUGAUCCCUUCCCCCAAAUAACCAGUUGAUAGGGACGCCCCCCCCCCUACUUUUCAAGGACAGAAGCUGGCUCCUUAAGAGAGCUUGAGCCUCUGUGUCUCUAAUUGGCUGCAAGAGGGGAGCAAGCAGCAGAGCCAGCUUCUGGUUGGAUGUCACCUCAGCCCAUGGCGGCCGUGCGGCAGUUAACCCCUGCAGCGCCUGAGUGCAGGCCUCUGCAGUGGGGGACGAAGGACUGAAUCAUGGCCCUAAAAUGAAAGGAAGACCCCAGUGGGGUCUGCUGCCCAGCUGGGGGCAGGGAGCCAUCGACAUCUGUGAACAGGCAGGAUCUGGGGCCCCGUGAAGCUACCCUGACCCUGCUGUAUGGUGGCCACGGGUCAGAGAGAAACAGAGAGCUGGAGUCACAGGAACAGCUUCCACAGGAAAGUGUCAUCCACCUCCCCUCCGGUCCUGCCUUGCAAACAGUAGGUGCUCAACAGAUAUGUGUUUAUAAAAAGGGACAACUGGGCCACUUUCUGUGUGACCUUGGGCAAGUGA